CCGGCUUACCAACCCGAUGCAAACUGCGAAUACCGGAGAAUGUUAUCACGGGAGACACACGGCGGGUGCUAACGUCCGUCGUGAAGAGGGAAACAACCCAGACCGCCAGCUAAGGUCCCAAAGUCAUGGUUAAGUGGGAAACGAUGUGGGAAGGCCCAGACAGCCAGGAUGUUGGCUUAGAAGCAGCCAUCAUUUAAAGAAAGCGUAAUAGCUCACUGGUCGAGUCGGCCUGCGCGGAAGAUGUAACGGGGCUAAACCAUGCACCGAAGCUGCGGCAGCGACACUGUGUGUUGUUGGGUAGGGGAGCGUUCUGUAAGCCUGUGAAGGUGUGUCGUGAGGCA
rnacentral:rRNA from 1 species